rnacentral:lncRNA from 1 species
GGAACCAAGAACCACAACAUUCUUUUCCUUUCUGAGGUCGUAGCCGCUGUGAGUCUUAGCUUCUCUCUGCAUCUGUGAGGUCAUCUCCCUUUCUGUAGAGCAUAUGAUCUUUACUGAUGCACCUGCAUCUGGCUCAGACUUAGUCACCCAGCCCUGAAAUUAUAUCAUAUCACAGGUCAUUCUCUGAGUCUCUUAAUGUGAGGCCUUGAGAGAAAAAUCAACAUGCCUUCUGUUGGAUGAAGACCAAUCAGCAAGAUGGUGUCCCCUUUUUAUAGAGUCGUUGCAAGGAUCAAGUGAGUUGAAAUCCGUAAGGUGCUUGGGAGAAUGCCUGGCGCCUGGAAGCACUGUAUAUUCCAAAAAAGGAGAUAUAAACAUGACCAUAAAAGACAUGAAAAGAUGUUUAACCCCAUUAGUCAUCGUGGAAAUGCAAAUGAAAACCACCAUACAGACACUAGAGUGGUUUAAAUUUGAAUGACUUCCAACACCAAAUGCCAGACAGGACAUAGAGCAACUGGAUGUCUCAUGCUCACAGGCAGAAGGGAAAACUACUGUGUGUGACAGGAAGAUGGACUUACCCAACCUUCAGCAUUCUCAAUCUCUUGUCUAUUAACAUGUGUUUGAAACAUUAUGCAUUCAAAGCAAACAUCUGGGAGGAAGAUGGGAGAAGCCUUCUUGCCCCUGUUCUACAGAAGUAAUUGAAGUUCAUGACAUUCAAGCUCAUUCACCAGUAAAUGAAUUUGGGUCAUGCUUUAUGUCUGUUGUAAAUACAGUGAAAAUUUGCCUCUGUUCCUGAA